rnacentral:lncRNA from 1 species
UUGAGUGUAUAUCAAAAUAUACACAAAAGAAAGAAAAAAUUAUACACUAUCUAAAAGUUUACAUAUUCUUAACUAUAUUAAAGAAAGAAAAAAUUAUACACUAUCUAAAAGUUUACAUAUUCUUAACUAUACUAAAUUACAAAGGUUAGAUUUAUUAUUCUUGUAUAGAACACUUUCUAUUCUAAUUAUUCGGACAAUAAAUGGUGUUUGUUAAACCUAAUACUAGUGCUAUACACCCC